AAUUUUAGGAUGAGGUUAAAUAAACCAAAAGUUAUUAUUUAAACUAGAAUGAUGAAAUUGAUGUGUGUAUACAUUUUUGACAGCUAAUUGUACCUCCUGUAUUAAAUUCCUUUGUCGAUCAAGAUAGCAGAGUUCGUUAUUAUGCUUGUGAAGCAUUAUACAACAUAGCAAAGAUUGUGAGAGGAGAUUUUAUUAUAUUCUUCAACCAGAUCUUUGAUGCCUUAUGCAAGCUUUCUGCAGACUCAGAUGCCAAUGUACAAAGUGUUGCACAUCUCUUAGAUCGACUUGUGAAGGAUAUUGUGACUGAAAGUGAUCAGUUCAAAUGCACAUCUUACUUCUGUGCUAUAAAUGAGUUUGUUAAACUUGGUGGAGAUCAGCUUAUUCCAUAUUAUGCUGACAUUCUUGGAGCCAUUUUGCCGUGCACAUCUGAUAAAGAAGAGAAGAUUAGAGUGGUUGCUCGUGAAACCAAUGAAAAGUUACGUGCAAUCAAGGCUGAUCCAGCUGACGCAUUUGAUGUAGGAGUAAUCUGUCCAUUGCUAGGAGGUGUAGUUUUUUCUUAAAAUUGUUGCUUUUCAAUUAUGAUUGAGGACCUGUUUAGUUUAGCCGACUCUAUUUUGUUCUGUUUAUUUCGGAGAAUGAUUUUGCAAAUGAUUUAACUGGUUUAGGAAACUAUCUAGUGAAUGG